rnacentral:rRNA from 1 species
GAUCAACGCUGGCGGCGUGCCUAAUGCAUGCAAGUCGCACGGGUCGCCUUCGGGCGGUCAGUGGCGAACGGCUGAGGAACACGUACGAAUCUGCCCUCCGGUGGGAAUAACGCACCGAAGGUGUGCUAAUACCGCGUACGCGCGCAAGCGGAAAGCCGCGAGGCGCCGAGGGAGGAGCGUGCGGCCCAUCAGAUCGUUGGC